GGGGGUAUAGCUCAGUGCAUGAGAGUGCAUGCCUAGCAUGCAUGAAGUCCUUGGUUCAAUUCCCAGUACCUCCA
rnacentral:tRNA from 1 species